ACAGAGGGUGCAAGCGUUAAUCGGAAUUACUGGGCGUAAAGCGUGCGUAGUCGGUUAUCUAAGUCGGGUGUGAAAGCCCCGGGCUCAACCUGGGAAUGGCGAUGGAUACUGGCGGGCUAGAGUGCGGUAGAGGAGAGUGGAAUUCCCGGUGUAGCAGUGAAAUGCGUAGAGAUCGGGAGGAACAUCAGUUGCGAAGGCGGCUCUCUGGACCAGCACUGACACUGAGGCACGAAAGCGUGGGGAGCAAACAGGA
rnacentral:rRNA from 1 species